ACCUGGUUGGCUCAGUUGGUAGAAUGUGAGACUCUUGAUCUCUGGGUUGUGAGUUCCAGUUCCACAUUAGGUG
rnacentral:tRNA from 1 species